AUUGAACGCUGGCGGCAUGCUUUACACAUGCAAGUCGAACGGUAACAGGCCGCAAGGUGCUGACGAGUGGCGAACGGGUGAGUAAUGCAUCGGAACGUGCCCAGUCGUGGGGGAUAACUACUCGAAAGAGUAGCUAAUACCGCAUACGAUCUAUGGAUGAAAGCGGGGGACCGUAAGGCCUCGCGCGAUUGGAGCGGCCGAUGUCAGAUUAGGUAGUUGGUGGGGUAAAGGCUCACCAAGCCAACGAUCUGUAGCUGGUCUGAGAGGACGACCAGCCACAAUGGGACUGAGACACGGCCCAGACUCCUAAGGGAGGCAGCAGUGGGGAAUUUUGGACAAUGGGCGCAAGCCUGAUCCAGCAAUGCCGCGUGCAGGAAGAAGGCCUUCGGGUUGUAAACUGCUUUUGUACGGAACGAAACGGCUCUGGUUAAUACCCGGGGCUAAUGACGGUACCGUAAGAAUAAGCACCGGCUAACUACGUG
rnacentral:rRNA from 1 species